AGGACGAACGCUUGCGACGUGCCUAAGAAAUGCAAGUCGAACGGACAGUAGCAAUACUGUUAGUGGCGAACGGUCGCGUAACACGUGGGCAACCUGCCCCGAAGCGGGGGACAACAACCCGAAAGGGUUGCUAAUACCGCAUGUGAAUCGUGGUGGCAUCACCAAGGAUUCAAAGCCGCAAGGCACUUCGGGAUGGGCCCGCGGCCUAUCAGCUAGUUGGAGAGGUAACGGCUCACCAAGGCUUCGACGGGUAGCUGGUCUGAGAGGACGGCCAGCCGGAUUGGGACUGAGAUACGGCCCAGACUCCUACGGGGGGCAGGCAAUUAGGAAUCUUGCGCAAUGGGCGAAAGCCUGACGCAGCGACGUCGCGUGAAGGAUGAAAUCUUUCGGGAUGUAAACUUCUUUUACCAGGGAAGAAUAAUGACGGUACCUGGUGAAUAAGCCCCGGCUAACUACGCGCCAGCAGCCGC
rnacentral:rRNA from 1 species